UGUUUCUUAAAUGAUCGGUGAGCCUGCAACGAUCGCCUUUGGGUGGCUGUGAAACUCCCGUAGCCUGAAAGGGAGUGCCUCAAGGCGGUACAUCUGCCCCCCCUUUGGAAGCAGAUAUUGCCAGCUAAACGGCAAUGAAGGUUCAU
rnacentral:sRNA from 1 species